rnacentral:tRNA from 1 species
UGAAUGCUACCCCGGUGGGGGCCGCGGUCUUCAAAACCGUCGUUCCCGAUUUAAUCGGGAAGCUGGGUUCGACUCCCAGGCAUUUCC